UACGUAGGGACCGAGCGUUGUCCGGAUUUAUUGGGCGUAAAGAGCUCGUAGGCGGUUUGGUAAGUUGGAUGUGAAAUCCUCCAGGCUCAACCUGGAGAGGUCAUUCGAUACUGCCAUGACUAGAGUCCGGUAGGGUGUGUGGAAGUCCUGGUGGAGCGGUGAAAUGCGCAGAGAUCAGGAGGAACACCCGUAGCGAAGGCGGCACACUGGGCCGGUACUGACGCUGAGGAGCGAAAGCGUGGGGAGCAAACAGG
rnacentral:rRNA from 1 species